rnacentral:rRNA from 1 species
AGUCAUGCUGGAAUGCCGACUCCCCGAAACGCUCAGGCGCUGUAGGAUGUGGCUGCGGCCGAUUAGGUAGACGGUGGGGUAACGGCCCACCGUGCCGAUAAUCGGUACGGGUUGUGAGAGCAAGAGCCCGGAGACGGAAUCUGAGACAAGAUUCCGGGCCCUACGGGGCGCAGCAGGCGCGAAACCUUUACACUGCACGCAAGUGCGAUAAGGGGACCCCAAGUGCGAGGGCAUAUAGUCCUCGCUUUUCACGACUGUAAGGCGGUCGUGGAAUAAGAGCUGGGCAAGACCGGUGCCAGCCGCCGCGGUAAUACCGGCAGCUCAAGUGAUGACCGAUAUUAUUGGGCCUAAAGCGUCCGUAGCCGGCCACGAAGGUUCAUCGGGAAAUCCGCCAGCUCAACUGGCGGGCGUCCGGUGAAAACCACGUGGCUUGGGACCGGAAGGCUCGAGGGGUACGUCCGGGGUAGGAGUGAAAUCCCGUAAUCCUGGACGGACCACCGAUGGCGAAAGCACCUCGAGAAGACGGAUCCGACGGUGAGGGACGAAAGCUAGGGUCUCGAACCGGAUUAGAUACCCGGGUAGUCCUAGCUGUAAACGAUGCUCGCUAGGUGUGACACAGGCUACGAGCCUGUGUUGUGCCGUAGGGAAGCCGAGAAGCGAGCCGCCUGGGAAGUACGUCCGCAAGGAUGAAACUUAAAGGAAUUGGCGGGGGAGCACUACAACCGGAGGAGCCUGCGGUUUAAUUGGACUCAACGCCGGACAUCUCACCAGCUCCGACUACAGUGAUGACGAUCAGGUUGAUGACCUUAUCACGACGCUGUAGAGAGGAGGUGCAUGGCCGCCGUCAGCUCGUACCGUGAGGCGUCCUGUUAAGUCAGGCAACGAGCGAGACCCGCACUUCUAAUUGCCAGCAGCAGUUUCGACUGGCUGGGUACAUUAGAAGGACUGCCGCUGCUAAAGCGGAGGAAGGAACGGGCAACGGUAGGUCAGUAUGCCCCGAAUGAGCUGGGCUACACGCGGGCUACAAUGGUCGAGACAAUGGGUUGCUAUCUCGAAAGAGAACGCUAAUCUCCUAAACUCGAUCGUAGUUCGGAUUGAGGGCUGAAACUCGCCCUCAUGAAG